AUCCCGUGAUGGCCUUAGCAACUCCUUGAAAAGAUCCCAUGCUUUAGAAAGGGAUUCAUCAUCUUUUUGCUCAAAAGAGUUGAUCUUGUUUUUGAGUUU
rnacentral:snoRNA from 1 species